rnacentral:rRNA from 1 species
UACGUAGGGUGCAAGCGUUGUCCGGAAUUAUUGGGCGUAAAGAGCUCGUAGGCGGUUUGUCGCGUCGGCUGUGAAAAACCUGGGGCUCAACCCCGGGCCUGCAGCCGAUACGGGCAAACUAGAAUUCGGUAGGGGAGACUGGAAUUCCUGGUGUAGCGGUGAAAUGCGCAGAUAUCAGGAGGAACACCGGUGGCGAAGGCGGGUCUCUGGGCCGAUAUUGACGCUGAGGAGCGAAAGCGUGGGGAGCAAACAGG